rfam:Gossypium raimondii Chr02_contig_1037, whole genome shotgun sequence.
AACCCAUGGUGAGGGCACCGUCUCCAUAAGUCCUUAUAACUUUCCCACGCAUCAUAUAAGGUCUCUAAAUCAAUCUGAAUGAAGGAAGAGAUAUCAUUCCUCAACUU